rnacentral:tRNA from 1 species
GCCGCUCUGGCGCAAUGGAAGCGCAACUGCCUUGUAAGCAGUGGGUUCAGAGUUCAAAUCUCUGGGGCGGCA